rnacentral:rRNA from 1 species
UACGGAGGGGGCUAGCGUUGUUCGGAAUUACUGGGCGUAAAGCGCGCGUAGGCGGCUUUGUAAGUUAGAGGUGAAAGCCCGAAGCUCAACUUCGGAAUUGCCUUUAAGACUGCAUCGCUAGAAUCAUGGAGAGGUUAGUGGAAUUCCGAGUGUAGAGGUGAAAUUCGUAGAUAUUCGCAAGAACACCAGUGGCGAAGGCGGCUCACUGGCCCGAUACUGACGCUGAGGCACGAAAGCGUGGGGAGCAAACAGG